AAGACAUUAAUAGCGGUGCAGCUUACUGAAAAUGGCAACAGACUGUAAAAAUGUCUGUUUUUUAUGCAUAAUACCAACAUACAAUAAAUAGAUUUAAAUCACAUAUUUCUAAAAUAAAAAUGUUAAAACUGCUGUAGCAAUCUUUGUAAUCUCUGGAAUGCUAAUGUAAAGCUAACAGAGAAAUUCAAUUUACCCCUUCCAUUUCUGUAGUAUUGAUAUAACCCAUGGAAACUUCCUUUGUUGUUUGGUAGCAGGGGUAAGCUUACAUUACUACUCCUCUAUUGGUUACUUUUCUUACUUCAUCUGUG